CCUACGGGAGGCAGCAGUGGGGGAUAUUGCACAAUGGGGGGAACCCUGAAGCAGCGACGCCGCGUGGGUGAAGGAGUGCUUCGGCAUGUAAAGCCCUAUCGGCAGGGAGGAAGCAAGACGAUACCUGACUAAGAAGCCCCGGCGAACGACGAGCCAGCAGCCCCGGUAAUACGUAGGGGGCGAGCCUUAUCCGGAUUAACUGGGUGUAAAGGGAGCGUAGACUGCCAUGCAGGCCUGGGGUGAAAGCCCGGGGCCCAACCCCGGGAAUGCCCUUGGAACUGUGCUGCUAGAGUGCGGGAGAGGCAGGCGGAAUUCCUGGUGUAGCGGUGAAAUGCGUAGAUAUCAGGAGGAACACCGGCGGCGAAGGCGGCCUGCUGGACCGCGACUGACGUUGAGGCUCGAAAGCGUGGGGAGCGAACAGGAUUAGAUACCCGGGUAGUC
rnacentral:rRNA from 1 species